rnacentral:rRNA from 1 species
UACGGAGGGGGCUAGCGUUGUUCGGAAUUACUGGGCGUAAAGCGCACGUAGGCGGCUUUGUAAGUUAGAGGUGAAAGCCCGGAGCUCAACUCCGGAACUGCCUUUAAGACUGCAUCGCUUGAACGUCGGAGAGGUAAGUGGAAUUCCGAGUGUAGAGGUGAGAUUCGUAGAUAUUCGGAAGAACACCAGUGGCGAAGGCGACUUACUGGACGACUGUUGACGCUGAGGUGCGAAAGCGUGGGGAGCAAACAGG